GAUGAACGCUAGCGGCAGGCUUAACACAUGCAAGUCGAGGGAUAUAGUUCUUCGGAGCUAGAGACCGGCGCACGGGUGCGUAACGCGUAUGCAAUCUACCUUUUGCAGAGGGAUAGCCCAGAGAAAUUUGGAUUAAUACCUCAUGGUAUGUGAGAAUGGCAUCAUUUCACAUUAAAGUCACAACGGCAAAAGAUGAGCAUGCGUCCCAUUAGCUAGUUGGUAAGGUAACGGCUUACCAAGGCAACGAUGGGUAGGGGUCCUGAGAGGGAGAUCCCCCACACUGGUACUGAGACACGGACCAGACUCCUACGGGAGGCAGCAGUGAGGAAUAUUGGACAAUGGGCGCAAGCCUGAUCCAGCCAUGCCGCGUGCAGGAUGACGGUCCUAUGGAUUGUAAACUGCUUUUGUACAGGAAGAAACACUGGUUCGUGAACCAGCUUGACGGUACUGUAAGAAUAAGGAUCGGCUAACUCCGUGCCAGCCGCCGCGGUAAGAC
rnacentral:rRNA from 1 species